UUCUUAUCCAGAGAAACCGAGGGACAGGCCCUAUGACGUUUCGGCAGCGGAUUCGCUUUUAGCGAAAACUGUGCUAAUUCCUGCAAAUGCAUAUAUGUGCAUUUGGAAGAUGAGAA
rfam:Planomicrobium sp. ES2 genome assembly, contig: CONTIG000001